CAAUAAAGUACCCAUAUCUAUACAACUUGAGCAUGUAAAUUCAAUAUCAACAACUUAAUUAUCAUAAAUUCAUAUACAUAAACAUAACAUCAAAAUAAGAGAACGAAUUUCACCACUUAAAUUCACAAUAAUUACUCCUCACAAUUAAGCACUUAUGAAUCUAAGUAGAAAAAAUAUUAUAACUUAAAGAUUAUGAAUGAACACUAUCCCCCUUACCUCUAUUGAGCACAAACCUAGCCUUAGCUUCACUUUUGCUCCUAUAAUCUCUA
rnacentral:lncRNA from 1 species